AACGAACGCUGGCGGCAUGCCUAACACAUGCAAGUCGAACGAGACCUUCGGGUCUAGUGGCGCACGGGUGCGUAACGCGUGGGAACCUGCCCUUAGGUUCGGAAUAACUCCCCGAAAGGGGUGCUAAUACCGGAUAAUGUCUUCGGACCAAAGAUUUAUCGCCUUUGGAUGGGCCCGCGUUGGAUUAGCUAGUUGGUAGGGUAAAAGCCUACCAAGGCGAGGAUCCAUAGCUGGUCGGAGAGGAUGAUCAGCCACACUGGGACUGGGACCCGGCCCAUACUGCAGGGGGAGGCGGGAGAGGGGAAAAUAGGGACAGGGGCCAAAGCCUGCACCGCCAAGGCCGGGUGGAUGGUGAAGGCUUUGGGGUUGUAAAGCUCUUUUCCCCGGGAGUAUAAGAACAGAACGGGGAAAAAAACCCCGGCUAAAUCCGUU
rnacentral:rRNA from 1 species